rnacentral:rRNA from 1 species
CGUACGCUCCUUUUUCCACCGGAAGCUUGCUCCACCAGGAAAAAGAGGAGUGGCGAACGGGUGAGUAACACGUGGGUAACCUGCCCAUCAGAAGGGGAUAACACUUGGAAACAGGUGCUAAUACCGUAUAACAAUCGAAACCGCAUGGUUUUGAUUUGAAAGGCGCUUUCGGGUGUCGCUGAUGGAUGGACCCGCGGUGCAUUAGCUAGUUGGUGAGGUAACGGCUCACCAAGGCCACGAUGCAUAGCCGACCUGAGAGGGUGAUCGGCCACAUUGGGACUGAGACACGGCCCAAACUCCUACGGGAGGCAGCAGUAGGGAAUCUUCGGCAAUGGACGAAAGUCUGACCGAGCAACGCCGCGUGAGUGAAGAAGGUUUUCGGAUCGUAAAACUCUGUUGUUAGAGAAGAACAAGGAUGAGAGUAACUGUUCAUCCCUUGACGGUAUCUAACCAGAAAGCCACGGCUAACUACGUGCCAGCAGCCGCGGUAAUACGUAGGUGGCAAGCGUUGUCCGGAUUUAUUGGGCGUAAAGCGAGCGCAGGCGGUUUCUUAAGUCUGAUGUGAAAGCCCCCGGCUCAACCGGGGAGGGUCAUUGGAAACUGGGAGACUUGAGUGCAGAAGAGGAGAGUGGAAUUCCAUGUGUAGCGGUGAAAUGCGUAGAUAUAUGGAGGAACACCAGU